CCUACGGGUGGCAGCAGUGAGGAAUAUUGGUCAAUGGACGAGAGUCUGAACCAGCCAAGUAGCGUGAAGGAUGACUGCCCUAUGGGUUGUAAACUUCUUUUAUAUGGGAAUAAAAUGUUCCACGUGUGGGUUUUUGUAUGUACCAUAUGAAUAAGGAUCGGCUAACUCCGUGCCAGCAGCCGCGGUAAUACGGAGGAUCCGAGCGUUAUCCGGAUUUAUUGGGUUUAAAGGGAGCGUAGAUGGAUUGUUAAGUCAGUUGUGAAAGUUUGCGGCUCAACCGUAAAAUUGCAGUUGAUACUGGCAGUCUUGAGUACAGUAGAGGUAGGCGGAAUUCGUGGUGUAGCGGUGAAAUGCUUAGAUAUCACGAAGAACUCCGAUUGCGAAGGCAGCUCACUGGACUGCAACUGACACUGAGGCUCGAAAGUGUGGGUAUCAAACAGGAUUAGAUACCCUUGUAGUC
rnacentral:rRNA from 1 species